UGGCGGAAUGCUUNACACAUGCAAGUCGAACGGCAGCACGGGGCAACCUGGUGGCGAGUGGCGAACGGGUGAGUAAUACAUCGGAACGUGCCCAAUCGUGGGGGAUAACGUAGCGAAAGUUACGCUAAUACCGCAUACGAUCUACGGAUGAAAGCGGGGGAUCGCAAGACCUCGCGCGAAUGGAGCGGCCGAUGUCAGAUUAGGUAGUUGGUGGGGUAAAGGCUCACCAAGCCGACGAUCUGUAGCUGGUCUGAGAGGACGACCAGCCACACUGGGACUGAGACACGGCCCAGACUCCUACGGGAGGCAGCAGUGGGGAAUUUUGGACAAUGGGCGCAAGCCUGAUCCAGCCAUUCCGCGUGCAGGAUGAAGGCCUUCGGGUUGUAAACUGC
rnacentral:rRNA from 1 species